rnacentral:rRNA from 1 species
UACGUAGGCAGCGAGCGUUGUUCGGAGUUACUGGGCGUAAAGGGUGCGUAGGCGGUUGUUUAAGUUUGGUGUGAAAUCUCCCGGCUCAACUGGGAGAGUGCGCCGAAUACUGAAUGACUAGAGUGCGGGAGAGGAGAGUGGAAUUCCUGGUGUAGCGGUGAAAUGCGUAGAUAUCAGGAGGAACACCGGUGGUGUAGACGGCUCUCUGGACCGUAACUGACGCUGAGGCACGAAAGCGUGGGUAGCAAACAGG